rnacentral:tRNA from 3 species
AGGGAUGUAGCGCAGCUUGGUAGCGUGGGUAAAAAAUGGAACGGGUUAAAAUCCUUUCAUCCCUA